AGCUACGGCCAUAUCCAGAUGAAAAUAAGACUUCCCGUCCGAUCAGUCCUAUUCAAGCAUCUGAGAGCCUUACUAAGUACUAUAGUGGGUGACCAUAUGGGAACUGAAGGUGCUGUAGUU
rnacentral:rRNA from 1 species